rnacentral:ncRNA from 1 species
UUUCUUUACUUCCUGAACUAAUCCUUUACCAAAAGUAUUUUCACCUAUUAAUAAAGCUCUGUUAUUAUCUUUUAACGCCCCUGACAUUAUUUCACUGGCAGAAGCACUGCCACCGUUAAUUAAAACAACUAAUGGCUGCGUUGAAAAAUACUUUUUAUUAGAACGGGAAGUAUCCAUAUACCCAUCUCUAUCAACAGUACUUACAAUGAUUUCAUUAUCAAGAAAAAGAUUAGCAAUUUGAAUAGCAUUAGAUAAUAAACCGCCUGUAUUACCACGCA